ensembl:lncRNA
AGCACAUAAUACCUCUGGCGAAGGACUCGACCCACUCCACUGCAUCCAUUCUUCAGCUUGAUGGAUUGCACUCUUCUGGUAUUAGUGCAACUGUGAGCAGGUUAUGUAGUAUUUAUGUGGUCACCUACCGGGGACAUGCUAUAUAGGCUUCAGUCUCUACAUCAUCAGUAGCAUGAAACCACACCCAGCAAGGACAAAAAGUCAUCCCUGAUGACAUGGGAUACUCACUGUUUAACUGGCAGGUAUAGGUGUGGUUGGCGUCCUCUAUGCAUCAACUAGAAAAAACACAAGGUACGUCAACGUCAGUAAGUAACUGUCCUGUUUGAGUUACCAGGCAACGCUGUAGCUUCCCUGCGAGGGAGGUGCACCAUAGAGUCAGAGCGCUCUCCGAGUCCGGAAGCGGGCUGCAGUGGUAACAUGUGUGCAGAGGUAUUCCCAGUAUUUCAUGUAUGGUGUGCUCUGGGUGGCCAAGACGUACCCCCAUGGCCAGCUGGCCAUCCCCUGCUGCCCAGUGAUGUCCCAGGGAGCGCAUCGUUCUCUCCUGAUUGCCUGCUGAUUUUGUUAGGUAGUGUGACCCACGCUGUGCACUUGCACAUGGACACAAGAUGACAAACCGCCAUAUUAAAUUCUUGGCAAACUCUUGUCCACCCUCGGUCUUACACCAACUGUCUGCUAUCUUAGAGACUCCAAACAGACAACAGGUGUCCGUUGCCCACUUGAUUGCAAAGGUGUGUGAUAUGUGUAUCAUAAAGUGAAACCAAACAGUUAUGAUGC